GACGAACGCUGGCGGCGUGCCUAACACAUGCAAGUCGAGCGAGUGGAGUUCUUCGGAACAAAGCUAGCGGCGGACGGGUGAGUAACACGUGGGCAACCUGCCUCAUAGAGGGGAAUAGCCUCCCGAAAGGGAGAUUAAUACCGCAUAAGAUUGUAGCUUCGCAUGAAGUAGCAAUUAAAGGAGCAAUCCGCUAUGAGAUGGGCCCGCGGCGCAUUAGCUAGUUGGUGAGGUGACGGCUCACCAAGGCGACGAUGCGUAGCCGACCUGAGAGGGGGAUAGGCCACAUUGGGACUGAGACACGGCCCAGACUCCUACGGGAGGCAGCAGUGGGGGAUAUUGCACAAUGGGGGAAACCCUGAUGCAGCAACGCCGCGUGAGUGAUGACGGCCUUCGGGUUGUAAAGCUCUGUCUUCAGGGACGAUAAUGACGGUACCUGAGGAGGAAGCCACGGCUAACUACGUGCCAGCCGCCGCAGUAAAAC
rnacentral:rRNA from 1 species